GACGAACGCUGGCGGCGUGCUUAACACAUGCAAGUUGAACGGAAAGGCCCUGCUUUUGUGGGGUGCUCGAGUGGCGAACGGGUGAGUAACACGUGAGUAACCUGCCCUUGACUUUGGGAUAACUUCAGGAAACUGGGGCUGAUACCGGAUAGGAGCUCCUGCUGCAUGGUGGGGGUUGGAAAGUUUCGGCGGUUGGGGAUGGACUCGCGGCUUAUCAGCUUGUUGGUGGGGUAGUGGCUUACCAAGGCUUUGACGGGUAGCCGGCCUGAGAGGGUGACCGGCCACAUUGGGACUGAGAUACGGCCCAGACUCCUACGGGAGGCAGCAGUGGGGAAUAUUGCACAAUGGGCGGAAGCCUGAUGCAGCAACGCCGCGUGCGGGAUGACGGCCUUCGGGUUGUAAACCGCUUUCGCCUGUGACGAAGCGUGAGUGACGGUAAUGGGUAAAGAAGCACCGGCUAACUACGUG
rnacentral:rRNA from 1 species